ensembl:misc_RNA
AAGAAUUUGCCCCUGUAACAGGUUCCCCAGUGUCCAACCAGAAGUACAAUCGGUGCUGAGGCUGUAGACAUUCGGGGCUGCCUUCUGCUGCCGUCCGUCGCUGCUCUCUGUUUUGCCAGAAACAGGAUUUUCUUGGUCUCCGGUUGAUCCGC